GCACUGAGGUGACACACUUCAUCAGGUUAGAUUAAUUCACCAACUCCUGUGUGCUAUUAUAGGCAGUUUUUGGCUCUAUACUUAUGGAGAUAGUUGGACAGUUAAGAAUUGACAGCACUUAUAACACUUAUGACAGCCUUCUAACUCUUUGAUUAACAAGGAAGGUUUCAACGUUUCUCCUUUCAAUUAUCAAUUACAAAUGGAACAUGAGCAAAAAAUAGGGCUCAAAAGAAAACUAACAAGCGGAAUAGAAUCGCUCUACGUGAUGAGGAACUGAGAAAGAAUUACCAUAAUUUGUGUGAAUUUCACCACUGAACUAGAAAAAAAUGAAGAAUUUUUAAGAAGAAAGUAUACCUAAAAUUAUUUUUAAACGCUAUAUUUUUUUGUUUGUUUGUUUGCUUUCAUCUUUGAGUAAGAUAGAGUGUUUUGGAAGAUGGGGUUUUCUAUGAUCUCCUGCUGGGAAUAGUCUCAUGUGAAGCUGCCUAGUGCUUUGUGAAGUAUAUAAAUAGGGUGACAAGUUACAGCUAAAUUUAAGAGAGAAGAUGUCAACUUAAGCUUAAUGCUUUAAAUCUUGUUACUUGCAUGAUUCUUAUGUGAUACAUCUACAGAUGAGAUCAAUGGAAAUUGAAGUUCCUUCAUUAUAGAAGAGAAAUUGCUGUUGGUAUAUCAUUUUUCAUUAAAAUCUGGUGUGCAUCCUUCCCAACUGUUUUGCCAGAAAAUUUAUGAUACUCCAGUUGAGCUAUGAUUAUUGUUAUUUUUUUAUACACAAGGACUUGUGCUGGGAAUAAAAAGGAGAAGUUAAUGCACUCCUAUAACUGCUUUUCCAUAUCUCUAUCCAUAUCCAGUAUUUAAUAGUUACAAUUGCUUAAAGCCGAAAAAAAAAAAAAAAGACAAUUUGAGGUUAUUGUUAAAAUGUAGAUGAUUCAACCUGAACUCUUUCAUGAAGAUUGUCUACAUAUGAAGAUCAACAUA